AUGGAAGAGCAGAACAAGUUCCUUGUGGGUGAAGACAUUCGAUUGAGCGGGUUUUCUUUUGUGCUUAACACAGUUGCGAGAGAUGACCACUGUGCACAGUGGCACAUCUGGUCACACCGGGAAAGGGAUGCUAUCAUUGGCCCACAUGGGUCAUGUAUUUUUCCUGUGACCAGGAAGAUGGACCUGUUACUAUUAAAAAAAAAAGGGGGGGGGAAUGAAUCAUGUAGACAAGGAUACCAGGGAGACUGUUAGCUGGGUAGUCACCCCAUCUGUGUUUUCCAUAUUUCCUUGUUACGAACAAACAGCAACAGACGAUGUUCAGGGGUGUGGUCUGGAGUGACCAGAAAGAAUAAAUGUAGGAGAAAAAACUGAUGUUCA
rnacentral:lncRNA from 1 species